rnacentral:misc_RNA from 1 species
ACAACCGUCUCGAGUUCUUUCAUAUUUCAUAUUCAAGGGCUCGGUUGUGGUGGAUGAGGCGACUUGUUAUAUAUUUGAUGAGCAUCCUCCCCACCGAAAUUGAGAGGCGGUCAAUCCCCACGUGUUUGCGGCGUUGUAAAAGCUGUCCAGCACUUCUCGCUUGAACUGUGGGUGAACGGCCAGCCAAUUGUGAAAACCCCCCAUUUUAUCAAA